AGAGUUUGAUCCUGGCUCAGAUUGAACGCUGGCGGCAGGCCUAACACAUGCAAGUCGAGCGGAUGAUGGGAGCUUGCUCCUGGAUUCAGCGGCGGACGGGUGAGUAAUGCCUAGGAAUCUGCCUGGUAGUGGGGGACAACGUUUCGAAAGGAACGCUAAUACCGCAUACGUCCUACGGGAGAAAGCAGGGGACCUUCGGGCCUUGCGCUAUCAGAUGAGCCUAGGUCGGAUUAGCUUGUUGGUGAGGUAAUGGCUCACCAAGGCGACGAUCCGUAACUGGUCUGAGAGGAUGAUCAGUCACACUGGAACUGAGACACGGUCCAGACUCCUACGGGAGGCAGCAGUGGGGAAUAUUGGACAAUGGGCGAAAGCCUGAUCCAGCCAUGCCGCGUGUGUGAAGAAGGUCUUCGGAUUGUAAAGCACUUUAAGUUGGGAGGAAGGGUUGUAGAUUAAUACUCUGCAAUUUUGACGUUACCGACAGAAUAAGCACCGGCUAACUCUGUGCCAGCAGCCGCGGUAAUACAGAGGGUGCAAGCGUUAAUCGGAAUUACUGGGCGUAAAGCGCGCGUAGGUGGUUUGUUAAGUUGGAUGUGAAAGCCCCGGGCUCAACCUGGGAACUGCAUCCAAAACUGGCAAGCUAGAGUACGGUAGAGGGUGGUGGAAUUUCCUGUGUAGCGGUGAAAUGCGUAGAUAUAGGAAGGAACACCAGUGGCGAAGGCGACCACCUGGACUGAUACUGACACUGAGGUGCGAAAGCGUGGGGAGCAAACAGGAUUAGAUACCCCGGUAGUCC
rnacentral:rRNA from 1 species